AGGAGUGUAGUUAACCAUAACAUUUGAUUUGCAUUCAAAAGGUACUUUAUACGAGUCUCUCUUA
rnacentral:tRNA from 1 species